CCUACGGGAGGCAGCAGUCGGGAAUAUUGCGCAAUGGAGGAAACUCUGACGCAGUGACGCCGCGUAUAGGAAGAAGGUUUUCGGAUUGUAAACUAUUGUCCACAGGGAAGAAAAUGACUGUACCUGUGAAGAAAGCUCCGGCUAACUACGUGCCAGCAGCCGCGGUAAUACGUAGGGAGCAAGCGUUAUCCGGAUUUAUUGGGUGUAAAGGGUGCGUAGACGGGAUAACAAGUUAGUUGUGAAACCCCUCGGCUUAACUGAGGAACUGCAACUAAAACUAUUAUUCUUGAGUGCAGGAGGGGAAAGUGGAAUUCCUAGUGUAGCGGUGAAAUGCGUAGAUAUUAGGAAGAACACCAGUGGCGAAGGCGACUUUCUGGACUGUAACUGACGUUGAGGCACGAAAGUGUGGGGAGCAAACAGGAUUAGAUACCCCUGUAG
rnacentral:rRNA from 1 species